AUGUCUAAGUAUAAGCAAUCUAUACGGUGAAACUGCGAAUGGCUCAUUAAAUCAGUUAUCGUUUAUUUGAUAGUACCUUACUACUUGGAUAACCGUGGUAAUUCUAGAGCUAAUACAUGCUAAAAACCCCGACUUCGGAAGGGGUGUAUUUAUUAGAUAAAAAACCAAUGCCCUUCGGGGCUCCUUGGUGAUUCAUAAUAACUUAACGAAUCGCAUGGCCUUGUGCCGGCGAUGGUUCAUUCAAAUUUCUGCCCUAUCAACUUUCGAUGGUAGGAUAGUGGCCUACCAUGGUUUCAACGGGUAACGGGGAAUUAGGGUUCUAUUCCGGAGAGGGAGCCUGAGAAACGGCUACCACAUCCAAGGAAGGCAGCAGGCGCGCAAAUUACCCAAUCCCGACACGGGGAGGUAGUGACAAUAAAUACUGAUACAGGGCUCUUUUGGGUCUUGUAAUUGGAAUGAGUACAAUUUAAAUCCCUUAACGAGGAACAAUUGGAGGGCAAGUCUGGUGCCAGCAGCCGCGGUGAUUCCAGCUCCAAUAGCGUAUAUUAAAGUUGUUGCAGUUAAAAAGCUCGUAGUUGAACCUUGGGCCUGGCUGGCCGGUCCGCCUCACCGCGUGCACUGGUCCGGCCGGGCCUUUCCUUCUGGGGAGCCGCAUGCCCUUCACUGGGUGUGUCGGGGAACCAGGACUUUUACUUUGAAAAAAUUAGAGUGUUCAAAGCAGGCCUAUGCUCGAAUACAUUAGCAUGGAAUAAUAGAAUAGGACGUGUGGUUCUAUUUUGUUGGUUUCUAGGACCGCCGUAAUGAUUAAUAGGGAUAGUCGGGGGCAUCAGUAUUCAAUUGUCAGAGGUGAAAUUCUUGGAUUUAUUGAAGACUAACUACUGCGAAAGCAUUUGCCAAGGAUGUUUUCAUUAAUCAGUGAACGAAAGUUAGGGGAUCGAAGACGAUCAGAUACCGUCGUAGCCUUAACCAUAAACUAUGCCGACUAGGGAUCGG
rnacentral:rRNA from 1 species